UGGGGAGUACGGCCGCAAGGCUAAAACUCAAAGGAAUUGACGGGGGCCCGCACAAGCGGCGGAGCAUGCGGAUUAAUUCGAUGCAACGCGAAGAACCUUACCAAGGCUUGACAUAUACCGGAAAAGUUCAGAAAUGUGCUCCCCGCAAGGUCGGUAUACAGGUGGUGCAUGGUUGUCGUCAGCUCGUGUCGUGAGAUGUUGGGUUAAGUCCCGCAACGAGCGCAACCCUCGUUCUAUGUUGCCAGCACGUUAUGGUGGGAACUCAUAGGAGACUGCCGGGGUCAACUCGGAGGAAGGUGGGGAUGACGUCAAAUCAUCAUGCCCCUUAUGUCUUGGGCUUCACGCAUGCUACAAUGGCCGAUACAAAGGGCUGCAAUACCGUGAGGUGGAGCGAAUCCCAAAAAGUCGGUCUCAGUUCGGAUUGAGGUCUGCAACUCGACCUCAUGAAGUCGGAGUCGCUAGUAAUCGCAGAUCAGCAACGCUGCGGUGAAUACGUUCCCGGGCCUUGUACACACCGCCCGUCAAGUCAUGAAAGUCGGUAACACCCGAAGCCAGUGGCCUAACCCGUAAGGGGAGGAGCUGUCGAAGGUGGGAUUGGUGAUUA
rnacentral:rRNA from 1 species